UACGGAAGGUGCAAGCGUUGUUCGGAAUGACUGGGCGUAAAGCGCACGUAGGCGGCUUCGUAAGUCGGAUGUGAAAGCCCCAGGCUUAACCUGGGAACUGCACCCGAAACUGCGAAGCUUGAAUGCUUGAGAGGUUGGUGGAAUUCCAGGUGUAGGAGUGAAAUCCGUAGAUAUCUGGAGGAACAUCGGAGGCGAAGGCGGCCAACUGGCGAUGCAUUGACGCUAAGGUGCGAAAGCGUGGGGAGCAAACAGG
rnacentral:rRNA from 1 species